rnacentral:rRNA from 1 species
AACUAUUGGAAACGAUAGCUAAUACCGCAUAAUAUCAAUUAAUUAGUUAAUUGAUCAAAGUAGGGGAUUUAUUUUUAAACCUUACACCUUUGGAUGAACCCAGAUGAGAUUAGCUAGUAGGUGAGGUAAAUGCUCACCUAGGCAACGAUCUCUAGCUGGUCUGAGAGGAUGACCAGCCACACUGGAACUGAGACACGGUCCAGACUCCUACGGGAGGCAGCAGUGGGGAAUAUUGCACAAUGGGGGAAACCCUGAUGCAGCCAUGCCGCGUGUGUGAAGAAGGCCUUCGGGUUGUAAAGCACUUUCAGUAGGGAGGAAAAAAAUAUAGGAUAACACCCUUUAUUAUUGACGUUACCUACAGAAGAAGCACCGGCUAACUCCGUGCCAGCAGCCGCGGUAAUACGGAGGGUGCGAGCGUUAAUCGGAAUUACUGGGCGUAAAGCGUACGCAGGCGGUUUAUUAAGUCAGAUGUGAAAUCCCUGGGCUUAACCCAGGAACUGCAUUUGAAACUGAUAGACUAGAGUCUCGUAGAGGGGGGUAGAAUUCCAGGUGUAGCGGUGAAAUGCGUAGAGAUCUGGAGGAAUACCAGUGGCGAAGGCGACCCCCUGGACGAAAACUGACGCUCAUGUACAAAAGCGUGGGGAGCAAACAGGAUUAGAUACCCUGGUAGUCCAUGCCGUAAACGAUGUCGAUUUGAAGGUUGUAACCUAGAGUUAUAGCUUUCGUAGCUAACGCGUUAAAUCGACCGCCUGGGGAGUACGGCCGCAAGGUUAAAACUCAAAUGAAUUGACGGGGGCCCGCACAAGCGGUGGAGCAUGUGGUUUAAUUCGAUGCAACGCGAAAAACCUUACCUACUCUUGACAUCCAAAGAACUUAGCAGAGAUGCUUUGGUGCCUUCGGGAACU